AUUGAACGCUGGCGGCAGGCCUAACACAUGCAAGUCGAGCGGAUGAAGGGAGCUUGCUCCUGGAUUCAGCGGCGGACGGGUGAGUAAUGCCUAGGAAUCUGCCUGGUAGUGGGGGAUAACGUCCGGAAACGGGCGCUAAUACCGCAUACGUCCUGAGGGAGAAAGUGGGGGAUCUUCGGACCUCACGCUAUCAGAUGAGCCUAGGUCGGAUUAGCUAGUUGGUGGGGUAAAGGCCUACCAAGGCGACGAUCCGUAACUGGUCUGAGAGGAUGAUCAGUCACACUGGAACUGAGACACGGUCCAGACUCCUACGGGAGGCAGCAGUGGGGAAUAUUGGACAAUGGGCGAAAGCCUGAUCCAGCCAUGCCGCGUGUGUGAAGAAGGUCUUCGGAUUGUAAAGCACUUUAAGUUGGGAGGAAGAGCAGUAAGUUAAUACCUUGCUGUCUUGACGUUACCAAAAGAAUAAGCACCGGCUAACUACGUG
rnacentral:rRNA from 1 species